UACGAAGGGGGCUAGCGUUGCUCGGAAUCACUGGGCGUAAAGCGCACGUAGGCGGCUUUCUAAGUCAGGGGUGAAAUCCUGGAGCUCAACUCCAGAACUGCCUUUGAUACUGGAGAGCUAGAGUCCGGAAGAGGUGAGUGGAACUGCGAGUGUAGAGGUGAAAUUCGUAGAUAUUCGCAAGAGCACCAGUGGCGAAGGCGGCUCACUGGUCCGGUACUGACGCUGGGGUGCGAAAGCGUGGGGAGCAAACAGG
rnacentral:rRNA from 1 species